rnacentral:tRNA from 1 species
GCUCAGUGGUCUAGAGGCUAUGCGUUCUCGCGUGAUACCCAGGGUCCUGGGUUCGAUUCCCACAUGAGCGAU